rnacentral:misc_RNA from 1 species
UAACGUUAGUCGUUAAAAUGUUACGCUUUAGUUUGUACCUCUCGUUACUUGUGUUUAUUAUGUGUGACGAAUUUAGAAAAACUUACACCAAUAUACCCGUUGAUUCACAUCAUUAUUGUGUUGUUAACAAAUUUCAAAAACCAAUUUUUAAAUGCUUUGAAAGCGAAUAUAUUGAUUCAGGAUUCAAUGCUACUCAUUCUUGGUACACGAAAGAUAAUUUAAAAUGCGCGGCUUCCAUUAAAAGUAUUAAGAAAUACGCAAAGUUUUGUACCAAGAGGUUUCGUCGUGGUAUUAUAGAAGGGGUGACUGUACCUGCAAAAAAUGGAAAAGAUAAGAAAGGAAACCCAAUAAAAAAUGGGAAUGUAUUUGAUUAAAAUAUAAAGAAAUUUUUUUCAAUUUACUAUGUUCGUUAAGGAAACUAAUAAAAUUUGAUACAGGCAUAAAUAAAAAACAAAAUACAAUUAAUAUUAACAACAAACUGUUAUUAAUCAAUUUUGGAAACUGUAUAACAUUAUUGUUAUAUUUAUGUAUUGCUCGAUUUCAACCCCCUAAAAUCUUAAACCGAAUUGUUUUGUUUGAAAAUGGUAUAUUUUGCUGAAACAUUGAUAGAAUGUUAAUUUUCAUAAAGAAAAGUUUUUCAUUAAAAUAACAACAUUUCUUAGUACUCGGAAAUUUUGUUGAGGAUCUACAAUUAAAUAGAUUUAUGUAAAAACAAAGAUAUAUUGCUGGAAUUUUUCAAGAUUUAAAUCAGUAUAAAAAAGAUUUUCUCAUUUCUAUAAAUAACACGAUAACAAAGAUUGAAAUAUUAAGCCAACAAAACAGCCUUGAAAAUCAUCUAAGAAAAACAACAUCUUCAUCUUCCCAUAACUAGUUGUUACAAUGAUUCGGUCCGGUUUCUUCUUGUGCAUUUUAACAGCUUUGUUGACGUAUUCGGAAGAAUAUGUAAAAAUAGAGAUUGAUUCUAAUACAGUUUGCUUUUUGGGGGAAAAGGAUCGUAAAUCCCCAAUUUUUAAUUGUGGCGAGAACGGUAACAUAGAGUUAGUCAGAAAAAAAUUGAAAAAUCAGAACUAGAGAUAGUAGAAGGAAAUCAAUUUGGGAUAGCGUGUGUCUCCAAAUUCAACAAAAUUGGUAUUAGGGAUGAAUUGUCUUAUUUUGUUCUGGAAUUUCGCAUUCUUUCUGACUUACUUUGCAUAUUUAUAAAAUUUCUAAUUUAAAUUUUUUUUAUAUAAAAUAAGAUAAUAUCAGCUUAAAGUUUAAUUCUACUCACUCUUGGUUUAUUGAAAACAAUCGGAAAUGUGUAGCUACAAUAGAAAAUAUAAAGAAGAACGUGUUUUGUCGUGAUAAACGUUUUUAUUUUAGUUCACCUGGAGAAUUUCAUAACGUAGUUACUCCUUCUAAAAAUGGUAAUAAUCGACAAACUGGACAACCUCUUAAAUCUAGUGACACAUUUAAUAAUUAACCCCUAUGAAUUAAUCUUAGUACAGAGAACAUAAUUUAAAAUGUAUUGCCACUUGCCAGAAUACAAAAUAUAAAUAAAAUAGCCUAUUUUUAUAUCACAAA